rfam:Triticum aestivum genome assembly, contig: Triticum_aestivum_CS42_TGACv1_scaffold_130271_2BL
AUGCUACUCCCUCCGUCUGUAAAUACUUGUCGUAGAAAUGAAUGUAUCUAGACUUAUUUUAGUUCUAGAUACAACCAUUUUUAUCUAUUUCUUCAACAAGUAUUUCCGGACGGGGGGGAGUAUUAU